rnacentral:rRNA from 1 species
GAUGAACGCUGGCGGCGUGCCUAAUACAUGCAAGUCGAGCGAACAGAUGAGGAGCUUGCUCCUCUGACGUUAGCGGCGGACGGGUGAGUAACACGUGGAUAACCUACCUAUAAGACUGGGAUAACUUCGGGAAACCGGAGCUAAUACCGGAUAAUAUAUUGAACCGCAUGGUUCAAUAGUGAAAGACGGUUUUGCUGUCACUUAUAGAUGGAUCCGCGCCGCAUUAGCUAGUUGGUAAGGUAACGGCUUACCAAGGCAACGAUGCGUAGCCGACCUGAGAGGAUGAGCGGCCACACUGGAACUGAGACACGACCAAGACCACUCCGGGAGGCAGCAGGGGGAAAUCUUCGACAAGGGGCGAAAGCCGGACGGAGCAACGCCGCGUGGGUGAAGAAGGUCUUCGGAUUGUAAAACUCUUUUGUUGGGAAAGAAAAAAAGUAAAAGUAUCACCCCCUGUUUUGACGUUACCUAAAGAAAAAGCCCCGGCUAACUUCGUG